rnacentral:rRNA from 1 species
GACGAACGCUGGCGGCGUGCUUAACACAUGCAAGUCGCACGAGGACGGGAGCUUGCUCCCGAGCCGAGUGGCGGACGGGUGAGUAACACGUGACCAGCCUGUCCUAGGGUGAGGGACAACCUGGGGAAACCCGGGCUAAUACCGCAUGAUGUCUCGAGGUCGCAUGGCCAUGAGAUCAAAGAGGGCCUCUGCUUGCAAGCUCUCGCCCUGGGAGGGGGUCGCGGCGUAUCAGCUAGUUGGUAGGGUAACGGCCUACCAAGGCUACGACGCGUAGCGGGUCUGAGAGGACGACCCGCCUCAUUGGGACUGAGAUACGGCCCAGACUCCUACGGGAGGCAGCAGUGGGGAAUAUUGCGCAAUGGACGAAAGUCUGACGCAGCGACGCCGCGUGUGGGAGGAAGGUCUUCGGGGUGUAAACCACUGUCAGGGGGAAGAAACUCGCCGGCCCGAAUAGGAACGGCGAUUGACGGUACCUCCAAAGGAAGCGCCGGCUAACUCCGUGCCAGC